rnacentral:rRNA from 1 species
AGAGUUUGAUCAUGGCUCAGGAUGAACGCUGGCGGCGUGCUUAACACAUGCAAGUCGAACGGAGUUUUAAACGGAAGUUUUCGGAUGGAAGUUUAAGAACUUAGUGGCGGACGGGUGAGUAACGCGUGGGUAACCUGCCUCAUACAGGGGGAUAACAGUUAGAAAUGACUGCUAACACCGCAUAAUAUAGUGAAACCGCAUGAUCUUGCUAUCAAAUAUUUAUAGGUAUGAGAUGGGCCCGCGUCUGAUUAGCUAGUUGGUAGGGGUAAAGCCUACCAAGGCGACGAUCAGUAGCCGGCUUGAGAGAGUGACCGGCCACAUUGGGACUGAGACACGGCCCAAACUCCUACGGGAGGCAGCAGGUGGGGAAUAUUGGACAAUGGGGGAAACCCUGAUCCAGCGACGCCCGCGUGAGUGAAGAAGUAUUUCGGUAUGUAAAGCUCUAUCAGCAGGGAAGAUAAUGACAGUACCUGACUAAGAAGCCCCGGCUAACUACGUGCCAGCAGCAGC